UGCAUGUAAAAGAGUGAAAUAUUUCGUCAUUUGUUUUGUUGAAGCAAAACUGACAUCUUUUAGCUAUUCAUACAUGUUGACUAGUUCAGAAACUUUCCAAACAUAUAUGUCACAUGUGUAUAGGUAUCUGAACAUUAAUGAAUAAGACAUGUGGAUGGAUGUGACAUUCUAAUUCACAAUAGAGUGGUUCUCCCUGUACCUCACUUGGUUCUCCCUGCACCUCCUUUUAAUUUUCUUUCAAAUUUAUAUAACCAAUUAUAACCCUUCAGAAUUAUUUUAAUUUAAAAAUAAAGCUAACCUAUUACUCAUUUAAUGAUAAAAAAAAUAAGCAACCAUUCCUCUACUGUGCCGCAUUUCACAAACCCUACACCCCCCUUUCUUUUUCUCCUCUCUUCUUCUAGCAGUCAUCUUCUGCUUCCUUUUCACCCUUUAUUUUUAAGGUGUUCUUGCAAAGUUCCUCCCCUCUUCUCCUGCUCCUUCCUCCCCUCUUCCCCUCCUCCUGGUUGUAGUGUAAUAAAAUGAUUUAUUUGUUGUAAAUAUUGUCUUUGUGGUUGAUGUGCGGGUUAGGAAUGCUUGGUCUGGGGUUGGGAAUGCUUGAUCUGGGGUUGGGGGUGUUGGAUCUGAGGGGAAGGAGGGAGGCCUUAACCGCUCUUGGAAUUGCGGAUAAGGCGUUCACCGCUCUUGGAAUUGCGGAUAAGGCGUUCACGCACUGGGAAGUGCGGUUAAGAGGGUUGUCGCAGUUGGAGUUGCGGAUGAGGUUCGCCGCACUUGGAACGAGUUGCGGUUAUUGUUAGGGCAGUUAGAUGAGCCGCACUUGGAAGUGCGGUUGAGGAUCACCGCAUUUGGGAGGUGUGGAGGGUUGCUGAUCGAAGUUGGAACUGGGUUUUUUUAUUUCUUUUUUCUGUUUUAUUUUUCCUGCAGUAUUUUAAUUUUUUUGUUAGUAUUUUAUAUACUUUUUUUUUGUUAAUAUUUUAUAUUUAUAUAAUCUAUAAUUUUUAUUUUUAUGAUAUAUUUU
rnacentral:lncRNA from 1 species